UACAGAGGGUGCAAGCAUUAUUCGGAAUUACUAGGUGUAAAGGGCGCGUAGGUGGUUCUGUAAGUCAGAUGUGAAAUCCCAUGGCUCAACUGUGGGUCUGCAUCUGAAACUAUGGGACUAGAGUAUAAGAGGGGAAAACGGAAUUCCUGGUGUAGCGGUGAAAUGUGUAGAUACCAGGAGGAACACCGAUGGCGAAAGCGGUUUUCUGGCUUAAUACUGACACUGAGGCGCGAAAGCUAGGGGAU
rnacentral:rRNA from 1 species